GGGGAUGUAGCUCAGUGGUAGAGCGUCCGCUUCGCAUGCGGAAGGCCCCGGGUUCAAUCCCCGGCAUCUCCA
rnacentral:tRNA from 1 species